rnacentral:rRNA from 1 species
UGGGGAAUUUUGGACAAUGGGCGAAAGCCUGAUCCAGCAAUGCCGCGUGUGUGAAGAAGGCCUUCGGGUUGUAAAGCACUUUUGUCCGGAAAGAAAUCCUUGGCUCUAAUACAGUCGGGGGAUGACGGUACCGGAAGAAUAAGCACCGGCUAACUACGUGCCAGCAGCCGCGGUAAUACGUAGGGUGCAAGCGUUAAUCGGAAUUACUGGGGCGUAAAGCGUGCGCAGGCGGUUUGCUAAGACCGAUGUGAAAUCCCCGGGCUCAACCUGGGAACUGCAUUGGUGACUGGCAGGCUAGAGUAUGGCAGAGGGGGGUAGAAUUCCACGUGUAGCAGUGAAAUGCGUAGAGAUGUGGAGGAAUACCGAUGGCGAAGGCAGCCCCCUGGCAAGUACUGACGCUCAUGCACGAAAGCGUGGGGAGCAAACAGGAUUAGAUACCCUGGUAGUCCACGCCCUAAACGAUGUCAACUAGUUGUUGGGGAUUCAUUUUCCUUAGUAACGUAGCUAACGCGUGAAGUUGACCGCCUGGGGAGUACGGUCGCAAGAUUAAAACUUAAAUGAAUUGAC